UGUCUCGGGCCUACUGAUCAUUUAUUAUAAAAAUCUCGCCUUUUACUAGAUCUUUCAUGGUCAGUGGGCACAUCAUGAGAAUUUAUUAAUUUUUUUCAGGCCUGCCGAAAGGUGGGCU
rnacentral:snRNA from 1 species